UACAGAGGGGGCAAGCGUUGUUCGGAAUUACUGGGCGUAAAGAGCGUGUAGGCGGCCAGGUAGGUCUGCUGUGAAAACUCGAGGCUUAACCUCGAGCUGUCGGCGGAAACCAUCUGGCUAGAGUCCGGAAGAGGAGAAUGGAAUUCCCGGGUGUAGCGGUGAAAUGCGCAGAUAUCGGGAAGAACACCCGUGGCGAAGGCGGUUCUCUGGGACGGUACUGACGCUGAGACGCGAAAGCGUGGGGAGCGAACAGG
rnacentral:rRNA from 1 species